UCGAAGGAUGCUCUUCGCAAAAGGAGGCGAUCUCGGUGAGAACAAACAAUGGGUGUCUGGGAUCUGCUUCCCAAUCCACAUCCCCAAUCCACAUCCCCAAUCCACAUCGAAGCGUUCAGUGCAAUCUGCUGUGAAACACAUGAUCUGCUGACCAGUCCAGGCAGCGACUCGGAGAAGCUGGACCAAGAGGCUGAAACGCGGAGAUCAAUUGGCAAGAAUCUAAAUGAAAGCAUUUGAAGAGUGGGAACCAAAAAAAAACCAUCCGGGGAUUGGUACGAUUGGUUUGAAAGAGCAAUUGCACAGGGCCGAGGGACGAUUGCUUUUAUAUGGAGGAGUUGCAGCUACAGCACGUGUGGCGAUGCCUGAGGACUGGGGGUCGCGUCAGUCAAAAGGCGGACCGCUAUAUAAAACCUAUGGAUGCAGUCUAUAUAUCUCCGGGUGCUUUAAAGAGAAAUAUAAGAUCACGAGCAACCCUUGUAAGGUUUACGCGAAUGACACAGUAACAUAAAUAUUUACAUAGUCGAUGCCU